AUGCUCACUUCAGCAGCACAUAUACUAAAACAAAUUGGAACAAUACAGAGAUGAUUAGCAUGGCCCCUGCACAAAGAUGACACCCAAAUUUGUGGUAUUUUUUU